rnacentral:rRNA from 1 species
UACAGAGGGGGCAAGCGUUAUCCGGAAUUAUUGGGCGUAAAGCGCGCGCAGGUGGUUCUUUAAGUCUGAUGUGAAAGCCCCCGGCUCAACCGGGGAGGGUCAUUGGAAACUGGGGAACUUGAGUAUAGAAGAGGAAAGUGGAAUUCCACGUGUAGCGGUGAAAUGCGUAGAGAUGUGGAGGAACACCAGUGGCGAAGGCGACUUUUCUGGUCUAUAACUGACACUGAGGCGCGAAAGCGUGGGGAGCAAACAGG